CACUGUGUGCGGUGAAAGAGAAACGGGUCAAGGAUGGGGAACUUCACACUCUGCUGUCACUCCCAUAAACGAUGAUGAUGAAAGCACUACCAGCUUUAUACACAAUGUCUCAUUUAACCCUCAGCAAAUCUGGAUGAAUUAUCACUCACCCUCUGUACAGAGGAUGGAACUCUGAGCAACAACAGCUCAGAGAGGUGAAGCGACUUGUCUGAAGUCACACAGCUGGGGUGGGAUUCCAGUGCACACAGUAGCCAUGAUCUUAACCAAUAAACCCUACUUGCUGGAAUGACUCACUUCUGUCUCGACUCCCUUCUGUGUUCAAGGAAUGGAAUCAAACGGGAUAAUCUCCAGCUAGGCUAGAAAUGCUAGGCUCCUAUGGUCCCCUCGUGGGCCAGCUUUGCUGCGUAAUAGGGGCACAGAAGGAGCCGCCUCCUCCCGGAACACACAUCUGACAGCCAGCCACACCCUCGGUGAGAGAUGGGCCUGCACGGCAAGUACAUGGCUGGGACAGCCAGACCCAGCGCGCAAAAGGAGAAAGCAUGACGUGCCUGCUAUGGUGACGGUGUCCUGGCAGGGGACCGGCACGCAGGCGGUAGGAGACGUCAGUAUAGGUUUCUGGAUGGUGACCACUGGUCCCACCAUCUGUGGUGCUGACAACUGCCUGGUAGUCCGAGCACCACUCGGCUUGGAAGGCUCUGAGAUGACGUUUAUUCCUGUUUCCAGAAUGGCUCCAAAUGAGAAAAGGCGACCCACAGACCAGAGUCAGGGGUCAGCCAGGCCAGAUGCCUGAGGCCCUCACGUGGGGAGAAGGCUCCAGAGCCAAAUUUAGCUCUGAACGAUUGUUGCUACUUGAUAAACAGUCUGGGCUCCCUUAGGCCUUGGGCAAGAGGGGUUCAGGCCGCGCUGUCCCAUCGCCCGUAUGUAGAACCUUGAAAAUCAUUAUAGCAGUUUCAUUUCCCUACUGGGGCACAUCUCGUUCCCUAAAACAGAAAACGAAAGUGAUUUAAAAGCAAACAUCUCAAGACUGGCGAAUUCGAAAUGCUUCUGAAAAUUCUGGCUGGUGACAAGCCGUCCCAUCAGCUCAUGCAGCCCCUCUGUCAGCGCAGCCGGGGACUCCAGAUCGGCCCGCCAGCCCCCCCUGCUCCUCCCGCACCCCCAGGGCUGGCCGGGAAGCUCUGGGUUGCUGGUGAUCUAGGGUCGAAAACAAUGCGGAGAAUCUCCGGCCACGGCUGUGGAAUGGACAGGAUUCUAUUUAUAAGCAGAGAGGGGCUGAACAAUGGAGCAACUGCCGCCUUGGUGGGUCUGUAGCCUGACCUCCUGUGAGACUCUGGAAAGCCUCAAAGCCAGACCCCGGAAGAGAUGGCACAGGAAGGAGGCGAUUAGACCGCUCAAGGUCAUGAAGCAGCUGCUUCCUCUAUGGUCCGACCACCUUCAUCAGAGAACAGCUAGUAAGCCCCCAUCUGCCGCUGGUGCACACCAACAUGAGCUGAACAGAUACAGCCUCUGCCCCGCCUCCCUCCCGGGGAUGCUGUUUAGAUGGUGACCACGUACCAGGCUGGAGGCAGCAGAACGGGGGCAGGGAACCACACGAUGGGCAGAAUGUCUAUCAUGGUUCACGUCCAAGGCUUGCACGGGGCAGGCUGGACAGGUGCAGGCCAGUGUCCCUGGCACAAGCAGGCUGGUAUUUCUUCUGAAAUGAUGACUCUGUUGGGGGAGAAAAUUUGUGAGAGACAACGGUGGAUGGCCCAGGGCUAGCAGAGGGCGGGGGCCUGUGCUGCCAGGCUGGGCAGGGGGCCCUGCCCAGGUUCCCUCUGACUCUAUCAACACCUGGUUUAAGACUCAGCAAAUGGCUUACUUGCUGGGCUUCAUGCUGUCCUCUGGAAGACGUGGGUCACAGUAGCUAGCUUGUAGAUUAAACGUGAAACUGUCUGUGAAGUGCUUAGGACAGAUAGUACCUGGCACACUGUAAUUCUCCAGGGAAUUAUCGCUACUAUUAUAACUGCAUACGAGAGAGGAAUGUGUGUUAGAAACACAAGCCACAGGAAGUAAGUUACGCUCCUGUCCAGUGACACCAGCAGUGAAGCAGCUGCCAGCACGAGCCCCGGGGAAUCCGGGUGCAGCAGAGAAGUUCCAUGGUCAGAAAGACUGGGCAAUGGCCGACUACUUCAUCUUCCUGGUUUACAAAGCAGAUUUGCAUAUUAAAGGCUCAAAAGAGGCCUUCAAUAUGAAAAUGUUACAUUUUGCUCUGUUCAUUCUUCUCUGCAACUUAGCGGACCACAGAGCCCUUUGUUUUGGCUGAACACGAACCUCUCCCAGGAAUCAUUUCAAACACAGAGAUUUGGGGUCCAAAACAGUCCCCGGUGUAACGGCUUGUUUCCCACACACGAGCGAGGCAAGAGGAGACCCACCAGGGAGAACGAGGGGAGGUGGGAGAGAGGGAGUCCUCUGCCCCUGCUUUCCACGCGGCGGGCAGCACGGAAAAGGAACAGGAGCGUAGGAAUCCGCAGGCGCUCAGAGGUGUUCUCGAGACGGUGAGUGGGGCCCUUGGGAUGACAAGGCCGGAGGGAAGGCAGAGACUGAGAUCCAAGCUCGGGAGGGUGUGGGGGCACAGGUCCUCCCCCCCUACCACCCUGUCACAGCCGGCUCCGCGGAGGCAUCGGGGAGGACCCGCGCCAGGAGGCAGGGUGAGGGCAAGGCAGGUACUCCCACCCUCCCUGCCGGACAGAGGCGGUGUUCGGGAGCUGACAGCCCACCUGCGCUGCAAUAUAGAUCUGUAUCUAUGGAUACACACAGAGCAGAUGGCCCAACGAGCAGCCGAAAUGGAAAAUGCGUGUCUCUUGUUGACAAUUCGGAGAGACCCCUUACCUUGGAUUAAUGGAAAAAAAACCAAAAACAAAACAAAACACGUCCUUGGGAGUGAGAUUCUCUUUCAGAUGCUCCCCUGGAGGGGAAAAUAUUUCUGGUUAUUGCACUUAAAAGGUUUCUCAGAAUGUGGCCCACAGACCCCCUGUGAAGGGCCCAAGUCCGCUCUCUGAUCAGAACCCCAAAUGAAAGUCAAGCACAGCUGUGUUAGCUUCGUGAGGUGGGGGGCGAGCCGUCACCCCGUGGGGCCCUGUGUUGGGAUGACAAGGGGCUCGACUGCCAUGUGGAAGGUACGCCCCACUCCAAACCCGGAGAGCUGAAUUGGGAAUCCGAACUCUCUACCCUGGAGGUGGGGCAGGGUCCUGUGGCCUUCCCAUCUCCAUCGCCACCAAGAGAAAGGCCCUCAAGGACUCCAGGAGGCGAUGGACCUUGCCUACUUCUGGUGACAGAGCCCAUGAGGGUUAGAUCAGGUCAGCCUAGAGGUCCAUACUCUUCCUGCAGCGCUGAAGACCUGAUCUAGAAACUUCUCUGGAGGUUGCCAGAGUGGAGAGCAAAGCUGAGGGCAAGCACCAGGUGCUCAUGCCAACAGACAGGAGGACACCGAGGGGACCUCCGCCUCAGGUCUCGGGGGCUUCCCAGCCACAUCAACAUGCAAGGGACUUGCACGCACACCUAUUUUGUCGUCCGGGUUCUUCUGUCCCUGAGAAACCCGUUUUCUGGCCUCUUAUCGUGUUGCCAUCUGAAGCACCAAUUACGAACACAGGACAUCUGUGUGUGGAAAAGCCAAACAAAACACAACCUCACUCAUUAAACUGUCUUCCCCUUUUCCUUCCUGCCUCUCCCGCGCCACACCAGCAGAAAGAGAAACCAGGCCAGUGAGCUGCCCACCUACUGGCGCAGCUGAGCGCGCGGGCCUCCUCCCGGGCCCCUCGUGGGGACCCGGGCCCACGUGCCAGCCCCGCUUCAGGAAGGGCUCAUGCCUGGGAGCUCGGCUUUCAGGGGAUGCUAGGAGACGACCCCGGCCACCUACCAGUGUAACGGAGCCCCGGAAAGGGAGGCAGAGGGGCUGGGGCACCGGCAAUGCAUUUCCGGGGGCUGCUGCCUGCCAGCGAGCGGCAGGGGCGUGGUCAGGUCCGGCACAGCUGACAACGGAGAUGUCACAUGCCACCUCUACACUGGCUUAACGCAGAGAAUUCGGGGUCAAGGGUUUAGGCCGAACCAGCUUCUAUUUAUAAUAAAGAGCAUCGAGGAGGGGGCAAACGGGACAGCAGGGGACUGGCUCGGUCUGGGUGCCCGUCGGCACGACGCUACGCUGAGGCAGAAGUCUGUGCUCAGCGACUCGCCCCCGUGAGCGCGGGGCCUCCACUGGGAGCUCUUCCCAGGCAGCUGAGUGCUGCUGGCUCUAGAUGGCCCCUGUGUGGGAGCUAAAGAGAGCGCAGGAGGGGGGAACAAGCCCCAUGUCUGGCUGUGUGGGUGUCGUGGGGACUGUCCCCUGCCCCACAGCUGAGGAA